rnacentral:rRNA from 1 species
CCUACGGGAGGCAGCAGUGAGGAAUAUUGGUCAAUGGGCGCGAGCCUGAACCAGCCAAGUCGCGUGAGGGAGGACGGCCCUACGGGUUGUAAACCUCUUUUGCCGGGGAGCAACGGGCGCCACGUGUGGCGUCACUGAGAGUACCCGGAGAAAAAGCAUCGGCUAACUCCGUGCCAGCAGCCGCGGUAAUCCGGAGGAUGCGAGCGGUAGCCGGAUUUAUUGGUUUAAAAGGGUGCGUAGGCGGCUCUUAAAGUCAGUGGUAAAAUUGAGGGGCUCAACCCCUUCCCGCCAUUGAAACUGGAGUUCUUGAGUGGAAGAGAAGUAGGCGGAAUGCGUGGUGUAGCGGUGAAAUGCAUAGAUAUCACGCAGAACCCCGAUUGCGAAGGCAGCAUGCCGGCUUCCGACUGACGCUGAAGCACGAAAGCGUGGGGAUCGAACAGGAUUAGAUACCCGUGUAGUC